GAGGCAUCGCAGCCCGGCACGGGCAGGAGCAGCCCCGGGGAGCCCCCGAACGUCCCCGGAGCGCCCAAAGCGGGGGGCGCAGCCCCCCACACACACAGGUGCUGCUGGAUGAGGAUCCAAGCCCAAAUGCUGCUCUUUUCCAAGGAUUUUUGGGAUUUCUAAACUCUUCCCAUCAGCUGGAGCAGAACUCAGGUAAAAAGUGCUUUUAUUCCUUCAGAAAUCCCCAUUUAUCCCUUCCUGCUUUUCCUGGACUUGGCCCGGAAAACAGAGAGCUGGAAAAUCCCAAAGAGCUGUUGGAAAGCAUCAAGGGAAUGCUGAAAAUCCUUGAAAAAAAUCCUUGGAAAACUUGGUUUUAUUUAUAUGUUUUUGUAGGGCAGGAUGAAGAUAAAGUCUCAGCUGUGAACAUGGAAAAAUUCCAGGAAUGUGGAUGAAAACAGCAAGAAUUCCAUUGGGAAUGGGGCGGGAAAGGCUGGGUCUAACUCCAGGUAAAAAUUCCAAUUUUAGGAAAAUAUUUGGAUUUUUGGGGUGGAAUUUUAGGAUUGGCUGAGAAAUCCUUGAUGGGAAUGAAUAUUCCAAAUUUUUUUGAAAUGUUUGGGUUUUGGGAAUGAGGCAAAAUUUGAUCUGAGCUCU
rnacentral:lncRNA from 1 species